rnacentral:rRNA from 1 species
AACGAACGCUGGCGGCAUGCCUAACACAUGCAAGUCGAACGAGACCUUCGGGUCUAGUGGCGCACGGGUGCGUAACGCGUGGGAACCUGCCCUUAGGUUCGGAAUAACUCCCCGAAAGGGGUGCUAAUACCGGAUAAUGUCUUCGGACCAAAGAUUUAUCGCCUUUGGAUGGGCCCGCGUUGGAUUAGCUAGUUGGUAGGGUAAAAGCCUACCAAGGCGACGAUCCAUAGCUGGUCUGAGAGGAUGAUCAGCCACACUGGGAAUGAGACACGGCCCAGACUCCUACGGGAGGCAGCAGUGGGGAAUAUUGGACAAUGGGCGAAAGCCUGAUCCAGCAAUGCCGCGUGAGUGAUGAAGGCCUUAGGGUUGUAAAGCUCUUUUACACGGGAUGAUAAUGACAGUACCGGGAGAAUAAGCUCCGGCUAACUCCGUG